rnacentral:rRNA from 1 species
GAUGAACGCUGGCGGCGUGCCUAAUACAUGCAAGUCGAGCGAACAGACGAGGAGCUUGCUCCUUCGACGUUAGCGGCGGACGGGUGAGUAACACGUAGGUAACCUACCUAUAAGACUGGGAUAACUUCGGGAAACCGGAGCUAAUACCGGAUAAUAUUUCGAACCGCAUGGUUCGAUAGUGAAAGAUGGCUUUGCUAUCACUUAUAGAUGGACCUGCGCCGUAUUAGCUAGUUGGUAAGGUAACGGCUUACCAAGGCAACGAUACGUAGCCGACCUGAGAGGGUGAUCGGCCACACUGGAACUGAGACACGGUCCAGACUCCUACGGGAGGCAGCAGUAGGGAAUCUUCCGCAAAGGGCGAAAGCCUGACGGAGCAACGCCGCGUGAGUGAUGAAAGUCUUCGGAUCGUAAAACUCUGUUAUUAGGGAAGAACAAACGUGUAAGUAACUGUGCACGUCUUGACGGUACCUAAUCAGAAAGCCACGGCUAACUACGUG